rnacentral:rRNA from 1 species
CCUACGGGGGGCAGCAGUAGGGAAUAUUGCUUAAUGGGCGAAAGCCUGAAGCAGCAACGCCGCGUGAACGAAGAAGGCCUUCGGGUCGUAAAGUUCUUUUACGUGGGAUGAGGAAGGACAGUACCACGAGAAUAAGUCUCGGCUAACUACGUGCCAGCAGCCGCGGUAAAACGUAGGAGACGAGCGUUAUCCGGAUUUACUGGGCGUAAAGCGCGUGUAGGAGGCGCUACAAGUUGGAUGUGAAAGCUCCCGGCUUAACUGGGAGAGGUCGUUCAAGACUGUAGAGCUAGAGUGAGGCAGAGGUAGAUGGAACUCCGGGAGUAGUGGUGAAAUGCGUAGAUAUCCGGAAGAACACCAGAGGCGAAAGCGAUCUACUGGACCUAAACUGACACUGAGACGCGAAAGCCAGGGUAGCAAACGGGAUUAGAUACCCGGGUAGUCA